AUUGAACGCUGGCGGCAGGCCUAACACAUGCAAGUCGAACGAGUGGCGGACGGGUGAGUAAUGACUGGGAAACUGCCCGAUGGAGGGGGAUCACUACUGGAAACGGUAGCUAAUACCGCAUACCAUCGGAUGUGCCCAGAUGGGAUUAGUGAGUAGUGGGGGUAACGGCUCACCUAGGCGACGACCCCUAGCUGGUCUGAGAGGAUGACAAGCUAAACUGGAACUGAGAGACGGUCCAGACUCCUACGGGAGGCAGCAGUGGGGAAUAUGGCACAAUGGGAGCAAGCCUGAUGCAGCCAUGCCGCGUGUAUGAAGAAGGCCUUCAGGUUGUAAAGUACUUUCAGCUAGGAGGCGUUACUCGCAGAAGAAGCACCGGCUAACUCCGUGCCAGCAGCCGCGGUAAUAC
rnacentral:rRNA from 1 species